rnacentral:rRNA from 1 species
CCAAGGAUGGGUCUGCGGCCUAUCAGGUAGUAGUGGGUGUAACGUACCUACUAGCCGACAACGGGUACGGGUUGUGAGAGAAAGAGCCCGGAGAUGGAUUCUGAGACAUGAAUCCAGGCCCUACGGGGCGCAGCAGGCGCGAAAACUUUACAAUGCGGGGAACCGUGAUAAGGGGACACCGAGUGCCAGCAUCAUAUGCUGGCUGUCCGGAUGUGUAAAAUACAUCUGUUAGCAAGGGCCGGGCAAGACCGGUGCCAGCCGCCGCGGU